CCCUAGCCCUGAUUGCAGCGAAAAGCCCGCACCCCCAAUCCCCAAAGCCUUGGGGGAGGGGGAGGACUUGAAGCGGAAAGCAGGUUCCCGG
rnacentral:sRNA from 1 species